AUACGUAGGGAGCGAGCGUUGUCCGGAUUUACUGGGUGUAAAGGGUGCGUAGGCGGCUGAGCAAGUCAGGUGUGAAAACCAUCGGCUUAACUGAUGGACUGCAUUUGAAACUGCUUGGCUUGAGUGGAGCAGAGGCAGGCGGAAUUCCCGGUGUAGCGGUGAAAUGCGUAGAGAUCGGGAGGAACACCAGUGGCGAAGGCGGCCUGCUGGGCUUUAACUGACGCUGAGGCACGAAAGCAUGGGUAGCAAACAGGAUUAGAUACCCUGGUAGUCCACGCCGUAAACUAUGAAUACUAGGUAUGGGGGAGCGAUACCUCCGUGCCGCAGUCAACGCAUUAAGUAUUCCACCUGGGGAGUACGAUCGCAAGAUUAAA
rnacentral:rRNA from 1 species